rnacentral:sRNA from 1 species
CCAACAAUAAACCCACGCAUGGUAAUCCUCUUCGAAAUGACCAUGAAUAUAUUCUUAAUCCCGUACCUCUCCUGUGGCCUCAGAUUAUACUGCGAAAUCAUGCCGCAGGCCACAAUGCGACCAAAAUCCCUCAUCGCAUCGAUGGCUGCCUCUAAGUGCUCCCCGCCGACAUUCUCGUAGUAAAUAUCGAUCCCGUCCGGUGCGAGGCGCGCCAGUCCAUCACGCGGCUUCUCCUUCUUGUAGUUGAACCCGCCGUCGAAUCCCAACUCAUUCAGGAUAUAAUCCAACUUGGCAUCCGUGCCGACGCUGCCAAUCACCUUCAGACCCAAAUGCUUCGCCAACUGGCCCACAACCUGGCCCACUGCCCCGGACGCGGCAGAGAUGAAGAUCGUCUCGCCCUGGACUGGCUUGCCGAUUUCCAUUAAAGAUGAGUAUGCGGUCAGGCCGGGCAUUCCUAGCGGGCCUAAGAAGACGCGGGUAUCUUCGAGGCCUAAGGGGUUGUCCAGCAGCUGGAUGGCUUCCAGGCCCGCUGGUGGCAGGACGACAUAUUCUUGUACGGGCAGGAAGCCAAUGACGUGAUCAUCCGGUUUGAACUUGCUGUUGUUGGAUGCCAGGACUUUGGCAACAGAGCGGCUGUAUAUGGGUUUUCCAAGGUCAAAAGCCGGGGAGUAUGAUUUGAUGGUGGAAUCGCGCAUGCGACCACGCAUGUAGGGGUCGAAGCUGGUGUAGAGUGAUUGAACAGUGAUUCCAUUUUCUGGAGCUGGCGUGGAGGCAUCAAUUGGGACGUUUUGAAUGGUUAAGUGCUCUCCCGGCACGGGGUAUCCGUUGGGGAUUUUGGAGAAGAAGAGGGCUUUGUUUUGGGGAGACAUUUUAGAUGCUGUGUCUUUGUAUUUGCGGGGAAUCGGGUACGGCGUUCUUAAUAUGGGUCACGUAUCUGGUAGCUAGAGGUGGAGGCAACUGUAGUGCAGAAAGGGAAUGUUGAUUUGGUUCUCAGUGCGACGAGGGGCGCAUUCAUGUGGAUUCUGGCUCAAUUGAAGGGAGGCUUUGUGCCCUUUAUACAUGG